rnacentral:rRNA from 1 species
GAGAGUUCGAUUCUGGCUCAGGAUGAACGCUAGCGGCAGGCUUAACACAUGCAAGUCGAGGGGCAGCGCGGGUAGCAAUACCUGGCGGCGACCGGCGGAAGGGUGCGUAACGCGUGAGCAACUUGCCCGUAUCCGGGGGAUAGUCAUUGGAAACGAUGCGUAAUACCCCAUAACAACAGAGGCCGCAUGACCUUUGUUUGAAAGCUUCGGCAGAUACGGAUAGGCUCGCGAGACAUUAGCUAGUUGGAGUGGUAACGGCACACCAAGGCAACGAUGUCUAGGGGUUCUGAGAGGAAGGUCCCCCACAUUGGAACUGAGACACGGUCCAAACUCCUACGGGAGGCAGCAGUGAGGAAUAUUGGUCAAUGGCCGGAAGGCUGAACCAGCCAUGCCGCGUGCAGGGAAAAUAAGGCCCUAUGGGUCGUAAACUGCUUUUGUGGUGGAGCAAUAAGACGUACGUGUACGUCGAUGAGAGUACAUCACGAAUAAGCAUCGGCUAACUCCGUGCCAGCCGCGGC